rnacentral:rRNA from 1 species
UGGGGAAUCUUGGACAAUGGGCGCAAGCCUGAUCCAGCCAUGCCGCGUGCAGGAUGACGGUCCUAUGGAUUGUAAACUGCUUUUGUACAGGAAGAAACAGUUCUACGUGUAGAACCUUGACGGUACUGUAAGAAUAAGGAUCGGCUAACUCCGUGCCAGCAGCCGCGGUAAUACGGAGGAUCCAAGCGUUAUCCGGAAUCAUUGGGUUUAAAGGGUCCGUAGGCGGUUAGAUAAGUCAGUGGUGAAAGCCCAUCGCUCAACGGUGGAACGGCCAUUGAUACUGUCUGACUUGAAUUAUUAGGAAGUAACUAGAAUAUGUAGUGUAGCGGUGAAAUGCUUAGAGAUUACAUGGAAUACCAAUUGCGAAGGCAGGUUACUACUAAUGGAUUGGCGCUGAUGGACGAAAGCGUGGGUAGCGAACAGGAUUAGAUACCCAAGUAGUCCCUGAGCGGGCUGGCAAGGCGCAU